GACGCAACCGCAGAUGAAGAAGGCGAGUACGAGGAUGAGGAAGAAGGAGAAUACCAACAGGAGGAGUAUUGAGAGAGAGUAAGUGUACACCACCUUAAAAAAUCAAUUUAGUCUUUUGCUUUUCUUUCUUUUUUAAAACAAAGAAACCUCAACUACCAGUUGCAGGUUUUUUUUAUGCUUGUAUUAACAACUCUGGAUCUUGUUGACUUAUGGUGUGGUUUGUGUACUUUUGAUCUUAAAAUUCGGUUCGUUCUUCGUAUAUCCCCUGUUUAAUUUGAAUCUUGACGUCUGGUUUUGUUUGUUUUUAUUUUUGUUGUUUUGAAUUUUGAAGAUAUAUAAGGCAAAAUAUUAUGAUUCAAAAACCCGAGAAUUAAAACAAUAGAAAGGAGAGUUCCCAAAUUUCUAUUAAGGUAAAUAACGUUUUGUGAGUCCGAUUCAAGGAAAACAGUAUUAGGGGUUUACUAUUUUAGGGUUUUUUAAGAGACUCAAAGCUUAUGUACGAUACAAGCACCGAUCUAACCGAUGACGCCGGUCUACACUCUAACGACUGCCUGUGAAGUCUCAAUUGAGAUUUUGAUGCGUCUCCAAGCUUAAGUCCUUGAUUAUCACCAGCAGAGAAUUCAGGAAUCGGCACUUGAAUACUGCUUCUUCCUCAGCUUCUCCUCGUCCCGUCUCCUCAUUGUUUUUGAGGACUUUUACAGAGAAAAGCUUCUGGUAGAUUUGUCGCCUCUUCCUCCUCUUCUUCUUACAGAGAUCUUAGCCUAGUCAAAAUUGAUGGGAGAAAGGUGUAUAAUCCGUGUCUUUAGUGAUCACUUCUCUAUCACCUAGACAAAUCUCACUUUUCAGUAAUUGCUCCAGUGCACAUUCUUCAAUCAUGUAGUGGGUUAAACGAUUUCGAAAUGGGUCAAAGAUUCUACCACUUGUACUAUAAUGCUAUAAAGGACACCUGCAUUGCAAGCACAUCCCUUGUCAUCUCGGAUAAAAUUGGAAACUUGCAGCGGUUCAAUUUCCACCAUCCCAAAACAUAACAUCAUAAUCUGUACCGAAUAUAUUUUUUUUUGGAGUUUCACAUUUCUCCUUUAAACAUAUAUCCAAUUUCGUACCUGAAUCUUCAGUUCCUAACUCAUCUACCAUUUUUUGUACACAAAAUCCAUUUUUCAUAUCCAAUCUCAAAAUCUAAAUCUAUUUUUGUCAAAGACAUUACCUGUAGCAUGAUCUUGAAUCGAAUUACCACUCCGAGACUCAGUACCUGUGAAUUUAGAUGAUGUCUCACCUCUAGAUAGCUUGCUGCUAUACUCCUCAAACAACUUCUUCAUAACCGUAGUCACAUAAUCAGACAACUCCCUUGAUUCAGGACUAUCUUUUUCAUAAAUCCCGUCAAAAUAAAGUGUAGCAAACCUUAUUUUGUUUCUCGGAUCUAAGAUACUCGCAAUGAUUAGAAGCUUAUUGAUCUCUGAUCAUCCUAGUACUUAUCAGAUUUCUCUCUCAUUGCAUCAGCCUUUGUCCUCAUUGUUGGAUCCUGAUCGUUCUUAGCUUUAUCAAGUUGGUUUCGAUAGUCACAAUCUCAUUGUAACACUUGUCAAAAUUCAGUGAAGUAAACAUUCUAAGGGUAAACUGCCUCUUGACAUUUUGCUGAUUCCACUCUUAGAUCGAAUGUCUUUAUUCUGUUAGUAGAAGCUCUCACAUACUGAACACCAUUACAGAUCGCAGAUACACUUUUGCCAACUUCAUGUAACCCAUCAUUCACUAUCAAGUUAAUGAUAUGAGUAACAGAAAGUAAAUGCAUGUGGUCACCUCCUAAAACCAAUGCGUGAUCACCUGUUCUGCUGAAAGCCUCCUUAAACUUCCUUGGUGCACUGGUGUUGGCAGUGGCGUUGUCAACAGUGAUUGUGAAGACCUUCUCUAUCCCCCAAUCAGCCAAUCACUCUAGCAAAACUCUGCGAAUUGUAUUUCCCUUGUGAUCGUCGAUGUUCUUAAACCCUAUGAUCAGCUUCCUUAUAAUUAGCUGCCACUUUACAUCAAUAAAGUGAGCCGUGAUGACCAUAUAGCUAGCUCUGGUUGUGGGAGCAACCCAAAUAUCAGUUUUCAAAGACACCAUUUGCUUGUUUGCACCAAGCACCGUUCUCAUAGCAGAUUCCUUCUUAAUAUACACAUCCCCACGAAUGUGACUGUUCUCCUUGACUUUGGAUUUGGAAGAUUCACACAAUUGCAGAAAUGUCUCCAAGCCAGAAUUUCAAUAAAUGAAAGUGGCAAUUCAGCCAAAAACAAUCAUCUCAUUCGAUACUUCUCUAACCACUUCUUCUGAAACCUUGGACAACUGCAGAGUACCACUUCCAUCUUCAAAAACUAUGAUAUUCUGCCUGUCUCUUUCUAGUUUCCUCCCACACAAUAUGUUCCUUGCGAAUUUCCAGAUGCUUCUUCAAGCUUGAACGAAGUUCCACACUUGGUGUUACAGGAAAUCGAUUUACCACAAUAAUGACAUAUGCAGGUGUUCACAUCCUCCUCAGUUCUAGUAACCUUGUGUUACUCUUAGUGACCUUAGAUUUCUUUUUUUGGCUUCGACGGAGGUGAGCUAGUUUCACUCCUUGGAUUCUCCUUGCUUAUGUUUGUUUUUCUCUGUGCAAGGGUAGUUCCGUGAUCAUCUUCAGCAAAAACAUCCUUUGUUGGUGAUGAAGAAUCCAUCUGCAUAAACAUUAGAGAACUUCUUUCAGCUUUCUAAGAACACCCAAAACCCAAAUCCAGACAUGAAAGAUAAAACUCAAAUCGUGAAAUUAAAGAGAAACAAUCAAGACAGAAGAAUCAGAGAAGGAACACUUACCUGCGAAUCAACUAUCAACGACGAUAAAGGAGGAGAAUGGUGGUGGUGAUCGUGAAAUUGAACUAUGGUUUCAAGUUUUUCCAAUUUGGGAUUUAAUAUAAGGGGGGGGAAAAUAGAGCGAAGAAAUUGAAUGUUUUUUUUUUCUACAUAUAUGUUUCGUAUAUGAUUUUCAUUUUUCAGGGGUAGGUUUAUGCAAUUAAGGUGUUGAUUAGUUCACCCUCCACAAACGCCACGCUGCGUUUGCGGUUGGCAGCGGUUAGUUGCGUUUUAUAACAGUCAUACAAAUUGCUGCAAACCGCUCCGUAUCGUUUUAUACCGCUGAAAUUCAAAGCUGCUUCCCGCCAGCGUUUUCGGUUGCGAACGGUAGCGGUUGGAUAAAAAAAAUCAUGUUAGAAAAAAAAAAUAGAAGAUCACGUUAAAAACAAUUAUAAAACCCUAACUCUACUAAUCUUUAAUUACUAAACAUAAUUUGGGGUAAUAUUUCCAACAAUUGAAAUAAAAUAUAUUAUUAUAAAAUUUCUUAGUUUUUAAAAUAAUUAAAUAGUAUUUAUUUAUAUUUUUUUAUUAUUUAUUUUGAAUUAGUGAUUUUGCUAUUAAGCAUGAGAAUAUAGUUUUUAUGUUUUUCUUAUCAUUAGUUUUGAUGUUUAUUUUGGUAAUUUUAUGUUUAACCGCUAAAACAUUUGCUGGUUCGCCAGUUAAAAAUAUUCCGCAAACGGAUCCGUUUAAAAAAAUUUAACCAGUCGUGGACACCGCUUAACAACGCUCAAAACCACAAUCUCCCGCUUCCGCAAACUCCCGCACUCGCAACCGCAACCCUGCGUUUAAACCAGUCAAGCCCUAAUUCAAAGAGUUUUUUUGUUAUUUGCGCGUUUAUAUUUCGGUUCUCGGGUUUACCCUAACCCAAACCAAGAACCAAAUCAAAUAAAUCUUAGAACCAUUCGAUUUUUGCAUUCAACCCAAAUCAACCCACGAACCUGUUUUUUCCGGGUCGGUUUGGUUCGGGUCGAGCGGGUUCGAUUUUUAAGCCCAGACUGAGUACCAAAUGCAUAAACAUCAGUUCUUCUAGAAGUUCCAUUAUUGUUAGCUCAGGUGUGAUGCUGCUAAGGUUAGGGGGUCGUAGAUGAAGUUUUAAAUUUAUAAAACCCUAGUUUCUGCAAGUACACAGUCGUGCGAUGUAGUAGUAGUACUUAGGGUGUUGAUCCACAUGAAGGUUGUCUAAUCUGCAAAAACUUCAAACUGGAAUAAGUAAGCGAUUUAAUAAACUCAUGAGGUUUUUGUGUGGUUUUUGUUUUUUUACGGGAAAAGAAAAAAAUAAAUAAAACUAAAGAAAAUCUUAAACUAAUCGAUAUAGGCCUAAUAAUGAAAUGCAUGUUGAGCUGUGAUAACACCGUAUUUUGACCACUUUUAUGGAUCGUUUAGAAUACUUUUUCUAUGUUUUCUAUUGCUUUCAAGUACUUUUAUCACGUUUUUCUAGUAUUUGUAGUUCCAAGACUCUUUUCAGGAAACUUAGGGAAAAACUUAACAAAAUGGAUAGAAGACCAGAUUUUUAGCUCAGAGUCAAACCGUCAGAAGUUCUGCACCGAUUGAAGGCCUUCUCACAGUCUGAUCCAGCUCAAAUUUGGAGAUCUCAAAGAUGGAAAUAUCAGCUUUCCAGCACACUUUACAGCUUGGCAAUCCAACGGUUCAAUCAAAAGAUACGCGAAGAGCAAGAUGUCCCGUAAACCAGCUGGCGAGCAUUUCCACCCGCGGCCAACAGGCCAUUCCCUGCGGUCACAAGCAUCCCGACCGCUGCCAGCCAUCCAUUCCCCGCGGUCACACACAUCCCGACCGCGGCCAGCUAACUCCAAGUUUGAAGGCCCAUUUCUGAAGACCGUAUCAUUUUCUCAGCCUCAAUUCCGGAACCCUAAACACCAGAGAGUAUUGGAGACUAUAAAUACAUAUCAUUUAGGUCGUUUUUAAAAGAGAAGAGGAGAGACGAAAUACUUUAGAGAAAUUUUACUUCAAGCUUUAUUUUUAGGUUUUAGGGAGAGAGAGAUUUGUCUCUUGAACCCUUGUUCUUUCUUUUUCAAUUUUGGUUUUUGUUCUACUUUUUAAUACUAUGUUUUUGAUUUCGUUCAUUAUGUCUGAGUAGUUUUAUUGUUGGGUCUAAGGGAUUUUUGAUGGGGAUAUAUGUGUUCGAUGAUGAUUCCAUGAGCUAUUGAGCCGAAUCUUAGACCUUUUUCUUCUGAAUUCGUUUUUACUGCAUGAGAGUAGCGUCAUGAACUACAAUCUGAUCCAGAUGCUUGGUGACACGAAAGUGUUCAUCCGAUGUCAGAUCUAGUUUGGGAGAGCAAAACAAACAUAGGAGUGGAAACCUACCUAUGGGCGAUUUGUGAAUGCUGAUGAGUCUUAAACAUAAUGCAUCUAUUGUCUUCCAGGGCCAGAGUGGAAACCUACUGGUCAGGGUUGAGAGAGAUAGUUGUCUAUGAUCACGACAGUGGUGUAUUCAUACGUCCGUGACUCCAGUUCGAAAAGUUUAAGCUAAGAUCUUAUCAAAUUUACUCUCUCUAGCAAUGUUUUGAAUCGUUCAUACCCCUGAGAAAACUUCCCUGAACCCCAGCGCCUUCUCUCCUAUAGAUUUAUACCGAUUUUCAUUCAAGCUUUAGUCUAGUAUCUUUACUCUUUCAAUCGAUUUUCAUUUAAGCAAUUAGGUUUAGCCGUUUUCGUUAAGUUUAGUUAUUAGGUCAUUUUAAUUUCCGUAUUUUCCCUUUAAGAUUAGUUUUUACGUUUUAAACACACCACCAAAACCCUCACAAAAAUCACCUGGUUCUAGACUUCUUUACUUUAUAUUUCUUUCAAAGGCUUUUGCAGGAAAGAUCCUCAUUCCUUGUGGAUUCGAUCCCUAAGUACUACAAUCGAUCAGCUGUGCACUUGCGGCUAUUGAUUUCAUUUAGGGUAAAACUUGACACCCUCACGCAGACACCACAUCAAAUUUUUGGCACCGUUUUCGGGGAAGGCACGCGUUUUCUUUUCCGCAAAACCCUAAGAAAGGUUGGUAAAUCGACUCUAGAACCCCUUUUUCUGCAUAUUUCCAUUUUUUCGGUUAUUUUGUUUCCAUUCCAGAAGCAAUGGAUCCUAUAAAUCCUAGACCACCUAUGUAUCGCCUACCUCACUAGGUUCUCCAGCAAGAUGAGAAUGUCCAGCUCAGUAACCGAUUGAGUCAGCUUGAGGGCGUAAUCAAGCAGUUCAUAGAAGCUCAAUCAACGGCUACAACCGUUCUAAACGAAAGGAUUGACGGGAUAUCGAAACUUUUCAAUGAGAAGAUCGAUAACCUAGCUUCACAAGUCAAAUCAAUAGAAGAACGAGCAACCAAGGACGCAGCUAUGAUCGCUAACAGGUUCGACAGCAUGGAAGAAGAGCAGGCGACGCACACCUACGAGCUUCGCAACACUAAAAACAAAGUGAUGGACCUGGAUUUUCAAACUUGAUGAUGUGGACAAAGCCCUCAACGAAGCUAAGAACGAGUCUUAUGACUUCACAGUCGAAGUUUUAGAGAAGGUUUACAAAUUCAUUGACAAAACCGAAGAGCUUGACUCAACCAUGGACAAAGUAGUCUAUGCUCUUGAUGAAGUUGAAGAAAAGGUUGAGGAGAUCAUACAAGGACUUGGAGAACAGAUUCCAGCAGCCAAAACUAAAUACUCAAGUCCAGGGAGGAAAUACACCAAGCCAGAAGACCCAGAAGAUCAUUCAGGAAGCAAAGGAACAAGAAACAGUAGACUAUCAACUCGGAGACACUUUCCCGCGGUCGCGUGGCCUGCGACCGCAGCCAAGAAGCUUUCUCCCGCGGUCGUGCUCGACCUACCUGCAGCCCAUGGACGUUUUCCCGCGGUCGCGUCUCCUGUAGUCAAGGCCAACCGAAAAAACGUUCCAAAACAGCUCCGUUCAGUUCAUACAAGCAGUUGUGCGUCUGAUACACCUCCUGGAAUGACUAAACCCCUCCAUCAACAACUAGUUUACUCAAUCAGCACCCAAGGAUCUGAAGAUGAAGACAAGCCAUGGGCCUGCAACAUGGCCUUGUCUUGCGAAGAUGAGUAUGAAGAACAAUACUCUGAAGAUGAAGAGUAUUGGUUGUUUGUAGAAGAUCCAAACGCAAGAUAUUCCUCAGAAGACAGUUCAGGAGAAAUUCAAUGGAUCACCAACAACAUCAGUAGGGAGAAGCUCAUAGAGUUCAACAAUAUGGUCAGGUCAUUCCCUGCUCACCUAAGCUUCGAUGAAAUUUGGAAGCUUGGUCGUUUGCAAGUCUUUUUCAGGAUAUACAUAGAUACUUUAUGCGAGUCUAAAGAGGAUAUACAUAGAUACUUUAUGUGAGCUCGAUACAUGACAUCACCUGAAGCAGCUGUCUAUGAAAUCCACCUUCAAAAACCUGAAGAAUGUAGCCACUACACCAACAAAAUCAGCAAGGAGAAGCUCGAUGAGUUCAAUGAUGUAGUUCGAAAUCUGCCUGAAGGAAUCACCUUUGCCAGAGCUUGCAAGGACUUCAUGAUAGGCCACUACUUCUGUGAGAGCAAGGAAUCAAUCCCUGAAAUAGAAGACUUGUUCAAUCAUGCCAGAAGAGGUAAACCUGUUCGAACACUUCACAAAUUCAAAGGUGCAGGUCAGUUUUUCAUCUCUUGUUCUAUUAGAGGAUAAAUGUUUAAAAACGUGCUUUGUGAUUCUGGAGCUUGUCUUAACAUGAUGUCCAAGGAAAUUGCUGUGAGACUUGGUAUUAAACACCUGCGCAGGACUAGAGCCAAGAUUAGUCUAGCUGAUGAUUCCAAUGCAACGUCUCAAAGAAUAGGUCAUGACAUUCCUUUGAGAAUAAGAGAUUGCAUCGUGCCUGUCGACUUCUACAUUGUCGAAACGAGAGACGCAACACAUCCAGUGAUUCUCGGAUGGUCUUUUCUAGCAACUUCCGGAGCUAUAAUGGACUGGCAAAACCAGAGGAUUUCAUUUGCUAAUAUCGACAAAGAUGUCUUCACAGAAGCUGUCCCGUACAACAGCAAAGCAGGAAAAUGUUCUGCAACAGAAGAGUUUGAAGAAGAACUUUGGAGUGACGAAGAACCUGCUAGGCAAAGCAAGGAGAUGUCGAAAAAGAAUUGUCUCAGGACAAAAUCUUCUUCAUUGGAUUAAGCCACGUCCAACACCAAAAGUCGAGCUAAACGACUUAAAAUAAAAGCGCUUAAUGGGAGGCAACCCAUUUAGGUAUUCUUUUCUUUAGGAUUUUUCUUUCUUUUUCUAUUGAUCUUUUUCUUUUUCUUAGUUUCAGGUGUUUCGUAUAAAACAAAAAAAAACCAAAAAAAUAAAAAAAAACCAAAAAGACCAAAAAGAAGGUUGGUCCCUGACUGUUCGGUCCAGCAGGAACCAUGGAGAAGCAGGAAACAGGCUGCGAUAUAAGCCCCCGCGGUCGCAGGUGUUCUGACUGUGGGAAACACCUCUUCGACCGUGGCCGCGUCUUCCUGACCGCGGCCGGACACCACUUUACCGCGGUCGCGUGACCUCUGACCACGGCAAAUGGUCGUUGAGAUGAUACCCGACCCAAAAAAAACCCACUACACCUCAUUCCUACCACCUCAUUCACCACCUAUCACCUUCCCAAACCUCUUCGAAUGAAUCCGGUCUACCUCCACCAGCAUCCCAGAUCCAGGUAAGUUCUCUUUGGCUUUACCAAUUCGAUUAUCUAUGCAUUUUUCUCAUCCAAUCUCGACUUGUUUCACACUGAGGACAGUGUGAUUUAAGUCUGGAUGAGUCUUGCAUUAUCUAAACUUUUUGCAUUUUCCUUAAAGUUUUUCAAAAUCUGUUUUCAAAAACAAAAUAUGUUUUGAAGGGAAUGGUGAACAUAAAUCAGUGAUAGUUGACUGUGUGCUUUUAGACUGCUCCUAGUGACAUGCUCAUUCAUGAUUUAGGACUAGACUAGGCGGUAGCUAAGCACAUUUGAAACGAAGUAUCCCAGAGGAAUUUGAAUGAUUCGAUUUAGAUGAAGGAAUACACUAGCUCUGUUUUAUUUGGAGUUAAUUUGGACUUAAUUUUCUCAUUGAAGCAUUAGACCAGGGAAACGAAUCAUACAUUCAGGACUCCUUUAUCCUUUUUACCACUCUAUGUUGAUCCUGAAUGGCUAGUUCAUAUUUAGCUAGUCCCCCACCUUAACCAAUCCUCUUUCAAACCACAUACACUCUUGUUUUCUAUUGUCUUAUAUGCAGAUAUGUGUAUAAACGUUGGAUAGAAAGAGGAACGACGCAGUUUUUAGUCACCAAAGACAGAGACCUGCGAUUUGCCGGAAAAGUUCCUAGAAGGAUUCAACACAAGAAGAAGCUCAGUUUGCCUUCGAAAAAUCUCAAAUUUUGGUACAAUCUCGUCCUCUAAUCUCUCUUUCUUUAAAAGGCAUUUCCUUUCUGAAUGAAAAAAAAAUCCGAAAAUAGGAAAAAAAGGAAAUAAAAGCCUUAGAUAGUCUAGAGAGGUCGAAUUUUAAGUCUCAAGGCAACUGGAUUUCGAUUUUAUGGAGUUUUGGAGAUCAUUUUCUGAUUCCCAGAAAGAAUUUAAGUCUGGGGGAAUAACUGUUUACAACAAAGGAGGAAGGAUUAUGCAACAACACUGGACAAGAAGAAGUGACGUCACUACAAGAAAAAUGUACAUUGUUAGCUCACGAUUAGCGCUAUCAUAUCGAUUUGAUAGCGUUUUCAUGAACGCUGUGAUUUCCGGAGCUAUAAUAGGGUGACCCUUAUACGAUAGUGUUUUCGGAUUGUGCUGUAAUAUAUACUUCUAUUAUAUCGUUGAAAUUGUAUUGUUAUUUACGAUAUAGUAACUCAUUUUAAACGCUGUUCUAUGUAGUAUAGUAGCACUAUUUGCAUACUAUAAUAUGGAUUUUUGUCGCACGGUUUUGUUGCUAUAGACUAAUCUCUUGUAGCUCUUUUUUUGGCUACAGUAUAACGUGUUGUAGCUCUUUUUCUGGGCUAUAGUAUACUGUUUUAUAACAUUUUUUCCAGGCUAUUGUUUAAUGUGUUCUAGUUUUUUUUUUGGUCACGACCUGUAGUUUUGCAAAAUUAUUUUCAAACCGAGAGAAACCUGCUUUCCAAAACUAUAUGAAAUGAAACCAGCGUUUGCAUUAAAAACACUCUUAUUUUUAUUAAACAUCCAAACAUGUCUUACACAAAACAUCACAAGGACAAACAUCAUACUAAAAACAAGUCUUACAAAACAUUAAGUCUUAAACAUCAUACCAAAUGUCUUACAAAACGUGGUCAUGGCUGCUUGAAGUGCUGAAGCAAUUCUUUGCGUGAGAAGAGCUUGCCUAGCCUGGGAGAGAAUCAAUGCCAUAAGUUGCAUUGUUCCAAGCAACAUACACACAUAGUAACUGCAACAAACCAAAACCAUAUUGAUGUAUUGGGAAUCUGUGAUUACGUAAUUCUCCAAAGUCAUCAAGCAAAGGCAUAAUUUCAGAAUUGCACCAAAUCCAACUGAACAAAUUACCUCAAGAAGAUGUGAUCAUCUUGCAACCGGUUUUUGCAGCAGUUGUUGCCCUCUUCUGUUUUUUUUCCCAAUAUAAAAAUCCACCAGGUUUGAUCUUGUAUCCAAAACACGUUCCAAUUGUUCUAGAGAAAAGCUUAUUGUAACCAAAACCUGCUUUUGAUGAACUGUGCAAAUAAUAAUCGACCUAAGAGUGUUAAACACAGUAUUAUUCAUGUAAAGGACCAAGAAAUCAAACCUGUAAUGAUGAGAUGUAACUGAAACUGAUUCAAGUCUCUCGUUUUGCUUAAUGUGGUCUAAGUAUUGCAACCAUUCUUCUUUUCUGGAAAAAAAUUGAGAAAAUUAAAAAACUCUCAAGAACAGAGAGAAGGAAUAAGAACUAAAACCAAAAGCUAAUGAGAUUAAGGAGAAGAAGAAACGUCAACUCUUUGCAGUCUCAAAAGCAUCUUCACCAGAUCACCCAAUCCAAUACACAAGCAAAAUCAGAAUCGAACUGAACACAUAAGCAGACCGAGAGAGUGCAGACCGAGAGAGCUUAUGGAAACCAAGUAAUAAGCAUCCACGCUUCUGAAAACAAACAAACAAAAUGCAACUCUUUGAAAAAAUCAAAACUUACUUCAUUUAUACAAGUGAACAAAUCAGAAAACUCCCUAUUAGCGGAGGCCUUAUAUACAAAGCUCCUUUACUCAGAGGAGGAACCUAAAACACCAAAAAAAAACCAUAAAACCUUUAGGAGCUUCUAGAGAUGAGAGCAAACUAUGAUAAAGAAUCAUAUCAAAGCUUGCACAACCAUACAAAGCAAAUUAACAUUGAUUUCGUGAAGAUCAAAACAAAAAUUCACAAGUUUUAUAAGUGAUUAUAAGAAUUAAGAGAACAAUAUACAUGUUAGAAGAAUAGAAGCUGACCAUGGACUAGUCAUCAAACUAGCAUUCAUAAGUGAUAAACCAAUGAGAAAGGUAAUUGACUUAUAAACCUUAGCAGAUGAGACACAUGUAAACUCCGGAACUGAGAUGUUCUUGUGCUCAUGAGUUUGGGCAUAACUGCAAAUAACAAUAGUUUGGCAGGAAGCAUGAGAAGCCAUAAAUCAUAACAAACCCAAAGAAGAAACAUACUUCCUAUUAUUCCAAAAUGACCACAAAUCGAUGAUCAUUCUAAACAUCAUCAAAUUGAAUUCCUACAGAGAAAAGUUAUGAAAGAACUGACCAUCUCCAGGGGAGAGCCCAGAACGGUUGCGUUAAUCCAUCUAGAAAACAAAAGAAAAUCAGCGAGAGCAAAGAAGUAUGUGUGUAAGAGGAACUCUUAACUAAAGAUCAUAAUAUAGACACAUGUGAUACUAUCUAUAACAUAGACAUUUAAACAUAAAGAAACAAUUAUCAGGGAUCAUCGUUACAUCUAAUAUGUCAUUAGAGAAUUGUCAUUUCAUAUAGUUUAAUGGCAGAAAGAAACUAAUAUUAGAGAUCAUGGUUGUUUUUUGACGGAAAAAAAGAUCAUGGUUCUUACUCUUUAUUGGAAACACUUCAAAUAUGAUAAUCGAAGCAACAUUCAAGUAAAACCAUAAAUUGAUGCAAGGAUAUUCUUUGCAAUAAUGGAGUCCGACAUUUUAUGGAACCUGUUUUGCUGAAAAACACAAAAGACCAGAUUAACAGAAUCUACUUGUUUGAAGUUGCAAUUCACAGGCCUAAUGUGAAAAAAAAUAAAUAUAUAUCUGUAAGAAAACCCACCAUUUUCUGCAGAAGAUUUUGCACCUGCGGACAAGAGUUGAAGGAUUCAGUGAAAAAGUGAUAUUGGCUCAAAGUCAGAAGCAUACCCACGAAAAUAGAUGCUCAGAACUAAGGAAAACAAAAAAAAAACAAAAACAAAAAUCAGAACUAACCAAAAUCCAUCUAAUCCUUUCCCUAGAAACCCAAGGUCUAAAAAUACCAAAGUACGAGGAUUUGUGGUCUUAUAGCGGCAAGAGAGAGCGGUGGUGUGAAGCAGCGAGAGAGAAACAGAGGCGGCUAGAGAGUGAGUCAAAGAGAGAUAGUGAGCAGAGAGAGGGAUUCAGCGAUAGAAAUAGAGUCGCGACGAGACCAAAAUCUUCAUUAUCAGUAAUUUGAAAACCCAGAAUUUUGAAGGUAUUCUUAGAUCCAGCAGAGACGCUCAGGGAAAGCCUAGAUCUUCUGAUGCUCUUGUCGGAGAAGCUGAGGGGGAGGCAUUUUUAGAGAAGGAGCAGAGGUUGUUGAGAGAUAUGGAAGGGAGGAGCAAGGAAGAGGCGGUGGUGGCCACAGCUGUGGCAGAGGAGCAGUGCAGCAAGUCGCAACCUUUAAGCAGAGUUAACGAAGAUGAGUGUAGAUGGAGGACGUCGAGAGUACGAUACCGAUUCUGGAUCUAGAGAGUCUUAGGAAAUUUUGAGAGAGGCUAGGAAGAAAAAUAUAGAGAGAAACUGACAAAAGCAUAAGAGUUUUUGGAAAAAAAUUAGGUUUAGCGUUAGAAAAUUGGUUAAAUUGGAAGAAAAGGGGGCAAAACCAAAAUAUUUUGGUACCAAAAAUGAUUUUUCGGCUAAGUGUUGGCGCUCGAUAAGUGUAAUAAGGCUCACCAAGUGAUUUUUAACUUCCCGCUAUACAUAUUUUUGUGUUUAGCAUUUCUAAAAUGCUAUCAAAUAGUAAUCCACUUCAACAUACCAUCUUUAAUAACAGUUAUGAAAACUGAGCUAUUAUAAUCUGCUAUCAAUAAACCUUUUUCUUGUAGUGGACUGAAAAUUGCGGUAAUCAACAGGUCUUUAUCUCUCUUGCGGUUUUGCAUAUUAUCUUGCAUCCUCCAGAUUCAUCAGGUAACCCGAAACACUUUAACUUCACCACUUAAACAGCCCUUUAAUGCCAAACGCCGUCUAUCCUAGAUGAUGUCUUAAUGAAUGUAGAGAUCUAGUUGACUGGAGUAAGAUUUAGAUUUUUUAAGUUUUGCAUGACGGAAAAAGUGGACUAGUAUCUUUUGUGUAUUGGUGAGAAUUUUCUAGACUAAGUUGUGGAUUGAUGCACAAUCUUUGGUUUUAGUUUAGGAGUUCAUGUCUCUGAGAUUUGUGUAUUCCCUAUUUUUGUUUUCACUUAACCAGUUUAGACUUUUGCUUUGUUUGAGGACAAACAAAUGUUUAAGUCUGGGGGAGGUGAUUACACCGUAUUUUGACCACUUUUAUGGAUCGUUUUGAAAUACGUUUUCUAUGUUUUCUAUUGCAUUCAAGUACUUUUAUCACGUUUUUCUAAUAUUUGUAGUUCCAAGACUCUUUUCAGGAAACUUAGGGAAAAACUUAACAAAAUGGAUAGAAUACCAGAUUUUUAGCUCAGAGUCAAACCGUCAGAAGUUUACCCCUGAUUGAAGGCCUUCUCACUGUCUGAUCCAGUUCAAAUUUGGAGAUCUCAAAGAUGGAAGUAUCAGCUUUCCAGCACACUUUACAGCUUGGCAAUCCAACGGUUCAAUCAAAAGAUACGCGAAGAGUAAGAUGUCCCGUAAACCAGCCGGCGAGCAUUUCCAUCCGCGGCCAACAGGCCAUUCCCCGCGGUCACAAGCAUCCCGACCGCGGCUAGCCAUCCAUUCCCCGCGGUCCCGCACAUCCCGACCGCGGCCAGCUAACUCCAAGUUUGAAGGCCUAUUUCUGAAGCCCGUAUCAUUUUCUCAGCCUCAAUUCCGGAACCCUAGACACCAUAGAGUAUUGGAGACUAUAAAUAUAUAUCAUUUAGGUCGUUUUUUAAAAUAGAAGAAGAGAGACAGAAUACUUUACAGAAAUUUUACUUUAAGAUUUGUUUUUAGGUUUUAGGGCGAGAGAGAUUUGUCUCUUGAAUCCUUGUUCUUUCUUUUUCAAUUUUGGUUUCUGUUCUACUUUUUAAUACUAUGUUUUUGAUUUUGUUCAUAUGUCUGAGUAGUUUUAUUGUUGGGUCUAAGAAAUUUUCGAUGGGGAUAUAUGUGUUCAAUGAGGAUUCCAUGAGCUAUUGAGCCGAAUCUUAGAACUUUUUCUUCUGAAUUCGUUUUUACUGCAUGAGAGUAGAGUCAUGAACUACAAUCUGAUCCAGAUGUUUGGUGACAUGUAAGUGUUUAUCUGGUGUCAGAUCUAGUUUGGGAGAGCAAAACAAACAUAGGAGUGUAAACCUACCUAUGGGCGAUUUGUGAAUGCUGACGAGUCUUAAACAUAAUGCAUCUAUUCUCUUCCAGGGCCAGAGUGGAAACCUACUGGUCAGGGUUGAGAGAGAUAGUUGUCUAUGAUCACAACAGUGGCGUAUUCAUACGUCCGUAACUCCAGUUCGAAAAGUUUAAGCUAAAUCUUAUCAAAUUUACUCUCUCUAGCAAUGUUUUGAAUCGUUCAUACCCCUGAGAAAACUUCCCUGAACCCCCAGCGCCUUCUUUCCUAUAGAUUUACACCGAUUUCAUUCAAGCUUUAGUCUAGUAUCUUUACUCUUUCAAUCAAUUUUCAUUUAAGCAAUUAGGUUUAGUUGUUUUUUGCGUUUUUAGCCGUUUUUGUUAAGUUUAGUUAUUAGGUCAUUUUAGUUUCCGUAUUUUCCCUUUAAGAUUAGUUUUUACGUUUUAAACACACCACCAAAACCCUCACAAAAAUUACCUGUUUCUAGACUUCCUUACUUUAUAUUUCUUUCAAAGGCUUUUGCAGGAAAGAUCCUCAUUCCCUGUGGAUUCGAUCCCUAAGUACUACAAUCGAUCAGCUGUGCAUUUGCGGCUAUUGAUUUCAUUUAGGGUAAAACUUGACACCCUCACGCAGACACCACAUUAGGCUGCUAAGGAUAUCUAAGAGCAUCAUUAUCGGGGUGGCUUAUUUGGGUUUCUUAAGCCUUUUUGGUUUUAAAAAUAUGUUUUAUGGCCCAAAAUUAGAAAAACCGAUUCUUAUUUGGGGCCUGAAGAAUCGUUUAUUCCUGGACAGGUAUCUGCUGCUGAUUGGGUAAAAAAACGGGGACUUCUUCUUUCUCUCUGCAUCGGUGUUUCUUCGACCAUUCACAUAUCCAAACCGAGAAAUUGUUCCAGAAAAAUCCUCUCCACCAAAACGAAGUCUCGUCUCUUCCGUCCCGAUAUCGUUGCCGAUGGUCGUCUCCUCCGCUCCGUGACGUCGGUGAAUCGUCGGUCCUUCUUUGCCAAAUCGACAGAUCAGAGGUUUCUGCAUGUCCACCGAAUUCCCAGAUAAGUUCUCAUCUAAUACUUUUUUUUAGAUUAUGCGUCGGUUUCUUCCCUUGAAUUGCUCAAUCAGAGCAUCUGAAAUAGGUUAUGGAUGGGGGAUUUAGUUUGUCAUCGGUUUCAAUUUGUUUUGUGUUCUAUAUCUGCAUGUCAACUUGUUUAGGCUUGAUGAUGUGUUGAUGUUAUUUGACUGAUGUGUUGAUGUUAUUUGAAUGAUGUGUUGAUGUUAUUUGAAUGAUUCAGUGGUUGAUAUUAGGAAUCGAUCUUCGCCAUACACAAUUGUUAGGAGUUUUAUUUAUGGUUUCACACAUGUUCAAUGGUUUUUUGUUUGAUGGUUUUAAAGUUUUGAAAUGCAAAGGUUGAUAACACUUUGUAUUUUUUUAUGCAGAACUAGCUAUUGAGGAAGGUGAACCGCAGGCUUUAGUCUGUUCACACCCUUCUCACCAUAAAUGUUCAAAUGCCUAGUGAUGAAGGUAUGUAUUCAAAUCACAUCUUCUCUCAUUAAUGCCUAGUUAGUUUUAGAAAAUAGUUGGUUAGAGAUGGUGUUUAGGGUAAUAAAUGGUUAAUUGCUUUUAGUUGGUGUGAAGUUGGAUGUAAGCUUGGUAUAGAGUUAGAUAAAUGUCUACUCAAUGAUCUUCAAUGAUCUUUUGGUUCACGUAGAUAGAUAGAAAAAAAUAGUUUGCUUGAGUGCUCUUUGCUUUUUUUCUUCAAUGCAUCUGCUUCAAUGCUUCAUUUACUUCUCUUCAAUGCAUCUUAAUGCUUAUCUUUCUUCUUUGCCUAUUAUAAAUGGAGAAGCCUCUUUUCCUUCUCCUUCUUUGUCUUACAAUAACUCUCUGUUCUUCUUCUCAUUCUCUUUCGUUCUUCUAAGCCUCUGUUCUUCUUACUCUCAUGCUCCUUCUCCUUAUUUGUUUGAUAUUCUCUCAUCUCUUUGCUUCGUCUAUCUCUUUCCAAAUGGAGUAUUCUUCUCAGACUCCUUAUUCACACGCGACGAACUUUGUUGAGCAUCUAAACUCACAGCAAGACAGUGUCUUUUGCGGUUAUCCAACAAGCCUCGGUGAGGAGAUGCCUGUGGUUGCUUCACCUGUCGUGGAAGCCUCGGCUGGACAACAGAAGACCACACGGUAGACUUGGAGCCCUGCAGAUGAUGUUCUGCUGAUAAGCUCGUGGUUAAACACGAAUAAGGACUCCAUCGUGGACAAUGAGCAACAAUCAAGGGACUUUUGGAAAAGAAUUGCUGCGUAUUAUGCGGCCAGUUCCAAGUCUUCAGGCCAUGACCAUAUAGAGGCAACUCAGUGCAAGCAGUGAUGGCAGAAGAUAAAUGAUUUGGUAUGCAAGUUCGUGGGAGCUUAUGAAUCUGCAACAAGGGAGAAGACAUCUGGUCAGAAUAAAGAUGUGGAGCGUGCUUUUGGAGUCUUGCAAGCUCGGUUUACCAUUGUUAAAAAUCAAGCUCUUUUUUGGGAUAAAAAAAUAGGUAAAAUUAUGAGAGCUUGUAUCAUUCUCCACAACAUGAUAGUAGAAGACGAAAGAAAUGGAUACAAUCUAUUAGAUUUGUCAGAUUUCGAACAAGGAGAAGGAGCCGGAAGUGCAAAUGUGGAUGACACGUUUUCAACGGAUAUGCCUACAAACAUUGCCAAUAUAAUGGAUACUUGAAGAAGAAUCCGGGAUCCAGGGGUCCAUGAUCGAUCGAAAGCGGAUUUGAUUGAGAAUAUAUGGCAAAAUUUGGAUGAAAUAAUGUUAUAAUCAAUAAUUAUCUUUGUUAUAUGUAUGAGUGUGUUUAUGUUAAGAAUGUUAUAAUCAAAUAAUUAUCUUUGUUUCAAAUUAUUUUUUUUUUAAUAUUUUUUUUCUUAAAGAAACCCUAUCAAGGUUUUACCAAUGCACCAUUAAAAAUAAUGAGUUUCUUAAUGUGGAUUCUUAUUCCAUAAUUAAUAAUAAAAAUUACAUAAGAACCCUUAAUGGGGUUUUGGCGAUAAUGAUGGUAUAAGGGAUGCUUAAUUCAAACUAGGGUUCUAAACUCAUAGGGGGCGACACAUACUACUCCUAAACACUUUAAUCGAUAUCUAAGUUUCUUCAAAUUAGCCUACAGAUAGAAUUUCCUUUUCUAUUCAUUUAGUAUCUGCAUGGAACUAGAAUAGACACUGAUAUAGCUAAUAUACUCCCGUCAUCUUAGCCAACUAAUUACUUAAACUCGACAAGUAGCUUUCGAUUCUUGCCGAAAAUAAGGUCAUGCAUUAUUUUGAACUGAAUUCAUUCUUGCUCACAUAUUCUCUAUAGGUAGCUUUUCACUCCUACAUCGACUAUGUUCUUCGGAAGCUAUGUACGGCGAUAUGAUACAUCACUCCCACGGUUCUGACCAAGUCUAGGUUCAGAGAUUAGUUCAUAACUGAGAAUACUAGCAAUCCCUAUCGAACAUGUAGACCCUUUGAUGGAUCCUUAAAACCCAACUACUAAACUACUCUAACAUGAUGCAAAAAAAGAAAAACAUAAAUGAAUGCAUAGAUUGAAAUAGAUAGAUAGAUAGAUAGAUAGAUAAAAAUGAGAUAGAUCAAAGGUUCAAGGAAAGAAUCUCUCUCUCCUUCGCCUAAACCUCCUAGAAACAAAUUUUGGUGGCUCAAAAACUCAUUACAAGAGCACACACCAAAAUUGGGAUGCUAAGAAAUGUAUUUAUAGGUCAUAAAGUAUUCUAGGUCAUCUUUUGGACUUCUCUGAAGAGAAUUGGCGAAAUGGGCUUGAUGUUGGGCCUUAGGGCCUGGUCAUGGUCCACCACAGGCGAGAGUCUUCCGGGACGGGUGAAAGUAUGUGAGGCGUGGUCAGAAGGUGUUUUGCCGCAGGUCAGCUGAAGUUCGGGCUGGUUGACAGGAUAUCUUGGUCUUCAUAUAUAUUUUAAUUGAACCGUUGGAUUGUUCUGAUAUAAAUCGCUAUAGAAAGUCAGUUGGAUCCUCUUAAAUAUAUCCAAAAUUGAGCUGGAUUAGACAGUGAGAAAAUCUUCAUUUAAGAUUGAACUUCUGACGGUUUGACUCUAAACUGAAAAUGUAGAUUUUUUUUCUAUUUUACAAUAUUUUUUCUUAAGUAUUCUAAAAAAAAUUUUGAAACUACAAAUAUAAGAGAUCUAUAAUAAAAAUAUUUAAAAAUAAUUAAAACCUUUAAAAAAAUAUAAGAAAUUAAUAGUGAAAUAGGUACAAAAAAGAUGUUAUUAAUGUGCCAUGUAACCCAUAGUUCCUACAGCAGCUGUUGCGGGUAAGCUAUCUCUGUAAUCUUCAAACAGCCAUUCCAAAAUCUCAUAACCUUCCAUGGAAGUCAGAAUCUAACAUGACAUUAGAAGCCUUUAUAUCUCUGUGUAACACAACCUGGUUAGCUUCUGUGUGCAGAUAAUUCAGAGCAGAUGCAAUAUCCUUCAAAACCGCAAACCUUUGCGACCAUGAAAAGAGGCGGGUUUUCUCUGUGAAACAAGUAACGAUCAACACUGCCAUUGGAAAUAUAUUCAGAGACCAGAAGAAGCUCUCCUUUCCUCCUGCAAUAUCCGAGAAGAGGAAUUAAAUUUCUGUGCUUUAAACUUUCCAUAGUCACCACUUCAGCCACAAACUGUUUCAUCCCUUGAUUUGCAUCGUGGCAAACUCCCUUUUACCGAAUAUCUCCAAUGCGAGGCAGGUUUUCUCUGUAGACUUCUCCAAAACCUCCUUUCCCUAAACGACCGUCUUUGUCAAACCCUUUUGUUGUUUUGUACAGAGAUUUAUAAGAAAGCCGAGGUGGACCGUAUUCUUUUUCCCAUGCUUCUCUGACUUCUGCAUACUUGUUUUCUCCUGAACAAGUAAACUCUUACAAGAGCCACCAACGUUGUGAGUGCUAGUAACACGAGUAAAGCGAUAAGCAGCAGAGAAGUUUGCUACUUCUUGGCUCUUGGAUGAGGAAUCUUAGGAAGUUUUGACAAGUCCAGUCUCUGCAACAACACUCUGCUUCUGCUAAAACUCCAUCCUAAGAUAUAUUGGUACCUAACCAACGACUCUGUUGCUGCAGAGAAUCCGAAGAACAGUUUUUGAUCCGAGAAGAUUUCAGUAAGAUUGAUGGGUCUUGACUAAAGAGAAUGGUUCGGCUUCUGGAUUCGUGGAGGAGGCAAUGUGACAUUGAGGAAACCGUCCUCAUAAUCCUCCCAGACCUGUAAAGGGUCUCCACUUAAGAGCUUUAUGCUUUGAUUCUUCCCUUUGGUGUUUAAAAAGUAAGAAUCUGAUCAAGCAGACUCUACAGAGUUCAGGCUGUUUAUGUUUAUACAUACAUGAUUCUUGUCGAUGUCAUCAAACUCUGCGCUUUGAAAAGUAUCGAGCUCAAUAGCUAGAAGCUGAGAGGAUGGAGAUCCAUUUGUUGAGAUGUUGAAAAGUCUCAAGUACAGAGUUGGAUCUGCUUGUGUGAAAUACUGAAAUCUAUGGAAGAAGAUACAACAAAGGCAAUUCCAUGCCCACUAUCAGCUCCGGUUUAGGCACAAGUGCACACACAAAAUGAGCCGAGAAAGAGAAUUUCUUCUCAGAAGGAUUAAACUCGAAUGGCUGCUUGAAGAAUGCAUGACCAUUUGCUGCGUUGAGGCGUCGGUAAGCUGCAAUAAUCCACCUGGAAAGAUGAUUUCUACAGCUCCAUCUAGAUGAAGAUCAGCUUGAGCUUGGCCAAAGCCAUUGUAUAUGAAACCGACUUCUUCUUGUUGACUUAACAAGCAAUUCAGAUGUUUAAAGAAGAACAAUAAGAUCAGAUGCAAUCCUUGAGUAGCCAUUGCUGAUGAAACAGAGAAAGUCUGUUUGAUUUAUUUGUUUCGAUUUCAGAUAAAAACUUCUCAAGACAUGAAUUCAAGGCCAAGUUUCUAAAUUCCAAGUUCAACUUUUUUAGGAAAUGUAUUUGUGAGCAUCUCCUGAGUUUUUUGUUUGCAUCUUCUGAAUUGAAUUUACAAAAUGAAAUGGAUAUUAAAUGUAACCAUGACCGUUACCUUUAACCUUUAAUUUAUGUUGUUGUUCAUACAAUAAUUAAAUUGUCUCUUGUCUGCUUUCUAACAAUGUCUAACUCAAAUGACAUAAUACACACAUGGCUUGCAAAAUGAAGCCAAUAUAAAUGUAGUUUAAACGUGACUGAUACAAUAUAUAUAGACCAAAAUGUAUAAUUUAUAUUCAGGUAUUAAUAAGCCCCAUCACCAAAGCUCUUGAAGUCAACGAUGGUGAAAGCAAGAGAUACACUCAUAAAAGGAAAAUCAGAAAGAAACGACGAAAUUACGAUCAACAGUUUAGGAGAUGAAAUUUCGGAUUGGUUCAAGCCACAACUUUAAAAAGAAACCAAGAAUAAAUUCAUGUAAGCUUACUCAAACCCAUUAAAACAAAAAUCAGUCAGUUUUGUUAUUCUGUAUCAUAACGAGAUCCUCAUUUCGCUUUGUUAGUCAAAUUCUCAACCAAAUUCUUCAAGAAUCACAGUGAACAUGUUGUUCUUGAUGGUGAAGCCACUGCAAUGUUACCAAACCUGGAGAUGCUACAGCAAGAGGCAUGCCUCACCAAUAAAGCUUUGCCUUAAGCCACUAAAUGUAUUUGUAUAAUUAAGGGUCACAUGUGACAUUUCUAUGCAAAUUGUUUGUUUCAAUUAGUAAAGUUAUUCUUCUUAUUCACUUUUAAUUUUUAAACCACUGUAAUCGUAAUUUUUUUUGGAUUAAUCAAGAAAAGAGAAUAUAUGUAGGCAGAGGCGGACCAACUAAGAGAUAUAGUGGUUCAUAUGACACCCCAUAAUAUUGAAAUUUGUUUAUAACAUUUGAAAUUUUCCUUUGACCCUAUAAUUAAAUUAUUUUCCCAGCCACAUAACAAAUUACAACAAUUUGUUUAUUUUGACGCCAUGUAUUAAACUAUUAAGAAUGAUAAUAAGAUUAAUAUUUUUUAGCUAUAUUUUGACACCGGUUAAAUAGAUGCAUACUGAAUUUUCUUGUAUGUUUAUCAAAUUUUGAUUUCUACUAUCUAAAAAAAUCAUAACUAACUAAUACCUAUGUUACACUUUCUUUUUUUAUUUUGUUAAAGAUCUACAUUAUAUCGCUAAAUCUAAAAAAUUACUAUAGUUUAAAAGAAUACAUAUUUUUGUAGUUUUUUUUGUUUUAGUUAUUUUUGUUUAAUAUAUAAUAAAAAGAGAUGAAUCCUUUUAUAAAACAUAUACGUUUCAUAAAAAAUAUAUGUUCUAUAAUAUUUAAACUAUCGUUUCUCAACAAAAAAAAAAUCAUUUUCAAAAUUAGUACACAAACAAUUUUUUUUCUUUAAUUAGUUCUAUCCUUUUAAAUAUUUGAGCUGACUUUAUAACCAGCUCAAAGUACUUUUAUCAUUUUCAUCAAUCGUCUUUGUGACUUCGGUAAAAAUAAUUUAUGGAUUUGCCACUGUAUGUAGGGAUAAAUUAUUUGUUGAAAGCUUACAAAUAGGGACAAAACCGAAUUAGAGACUUAGAGACUUAGUAAUGAGCUGAAAUCACAAAUAAUUUGAACUUGUAUAAAAAAAAAGAAAUCUAAACAAAUCACCGUAAUCUCUCUAACAAAAUCAUCUUUAUAAAGAUUAACAACAUUUUUCAGAAUGAGGGAAGAAAAAAAACGAGAGCAAAAAUGGAAAAGAGAGGCAUCUCUUUCAGAUCAAUUCUCCUCCACUCUCUGUGGACAACUCUCACUGGGAUACUCUUUUUCACUCUAGCCACCACGAAAGACCACAAAUUUGGUUACAUCAAAUUUUUUUCGAUAUCAGGAACAUUACUCAUAACCUUACCUUGGUUAAUCCAAUUACUUAUGGUCACUUCUGCGGUCAUAAUACUAUAUAAGAUCAUAGGUUUCAACCUCAUGUGGAUUAUUUGGUCACCAACAUCGGAAGAGAAUCAUCUCACAAACGUCGUCACCAUUUCUUCUUCAUCAUCUCCUCUUUUGUCUCGCAAGUUCUGAAGAAAGGCGAUACAGAUGAGAUCGAGAUUAGCAUUGUGAUUGGUGCUGAUGGUCCAAAAAGUCCAAAGGAUAGAUCCUAUGCACAUCAUUUGGUGAUUGAAGGAAGAAACAACACCAAACUUCUCAAAAAUGGUUCACCUGUCGCUUAAAUGCAACUAUGUUUUUCUUCUUGUUCUGUUUUUUUUUUGUUCUUUCAUUUCUACUGUUUUCUAGAGACUGUGGUCUGAAACUUGUAGUGCUUACAAGUUUUGUAAUAUUUUCGUUGUAAGUUUCAUUAGUAAUGAAUUUCGAUUGCUAAUUUCUAUACUGCUUCAAUAACAGAUUCACAUUCAAAUCUCUAAGUAGCUUAACCAACACACACACACACACUGAUUACAAGAACUAAAAAAGAUCUAAGUUUUUCACCUUCUAUCUCAGUAUGUAAUUGUGUGAGUAACGAACAUGGAGUUAUGAGGCAAAGGAGGAGACGCUGAUGGUGCUAAAGAACAUCUUGAAGUGAAGGCUGUAUCCAGCAAAACCAGAGUAGAAACCCCAAUCCCUAGAGAAGCUGGUGAGAAAAUGGGCAAUGGGAGACUCUUGUUUAUGUAUUGUACAAUUCCGCCACAAUGUUAGUGCAGAGCAAUCCUAGUUUCAGAGCUGUUGUGAAUCAAACUAGAAGAAAGCAAUAACUUAGAGAGAGAAAUCGCAAAUUGAAGUGAACACCCGUUUAGAGUUUUUUUUUAUUAAUUGUGUGAAUAAAUAAUUACAAACCCUAAGCUUUGUAUUUGUAGCCCCAAAAAUCUGACUCCCAAAUCCAUUUGAUAAAAAAAAAACUAAAUCAAGCCCAAUAAGGAAACUGUAGCAUGAGGGACUUUGCCUCCCCACACCCCCUAAAUAAAUCCGCAUCCGCCUUUGAUCCAAUAAAGCCCAUUAGACCCAGCUAGAGCUCGCCUUGCUCUAACAAGGCAUCUUUAGUUAUCUUUGUCAGUAGAAACAACAAGAACCAUUUCGAUUUCCUCUUCUGAGUAUUCAAGUCCCAUUCUUGUAUCUGUAGCAUCAGCCAGAGAAUCCCUUCUCCAGCAAUCACAAACCCAUUUGAUCAAAUGCCGUUUCUCAGGUGGAGUCUUGAGAUCUAAUGGUCUCCUUUGACAGAUUACUUCAAGCAUGAACGUACCAAAUUCAUAAACAUCAGUUCUUGUAGAAGUUCCCAUUGUUGUUAGCUCAGGUUCCAUGUAACCCAUUGUUCCUACAGCUGCUGUUGCGGGUAAGCUAUCUUCUUACUUUGUCGAGUGGAUCCCAAACAAUGUGAAGUCAACACUCUGUGACAUCCCACCUACUGGUCUGAAGAUGGCUUCCACUUUCAUCAGCAACUCAACAUCGAUCCAAGAGAUGUUUAUGUUGGAACCCAAUAUUAUAAGCAUUUGGACUUGUAAUAUUGAGUUUGUGUGUGAAUAAGAAAUGAAGUUUAAUAAGCAAAUGAGCCUUAUAAAUUCAUUUGAGAUUUGGAUUUGAGCCUAUGGAAACGAAAUGUUCCUAUUGGCUAUAACUAAAAGUGGAAGUGUAGUGGAAGUGUAUUUGUCCCACAUUGCUCACCAAGGAGAAAAAUAUCUAAUAUAUAUAUGGCCUUCUCACAAUAAGGGUCAACAGCAUUGUGGAAGUAAAAGGGCAUUAUGCAAAAAACACCUACGCGCGCCGCCGUCGCCGUCGCCGGUGCCGGUACCGGUACCGGGCUCGGGCUCGUGCUCGUUGCUUGUUACAUUUUUUAGUUGGCUCUUAAAGCUCUUGGGCUCUUGGGCUCUAUAUAGCUGGGUGUGGGUCAUGGGCUUCUUAGUUCCUGCGAAAUAUUUUUUGCAUAUUGAAAGGAUAAAUCUUAGGAAAUAAAAGAUUGCGUCCAGAUAAUAACGGAAGAUUUCCGAAUCCUUUUACUUGCGGAAAAAGGAGAAUAUUUUGUGAAUAUUCCUUUUUCGCCAAAGCUUAUUCCUUGCAGAUCAAGCUGAACCUUCCAGUAUAAAUAGACGCCCUCUUCUCUCAUUUUAAAAAAUCGAACUCUCGAAUGUCCCAACCACACAGCAAAUAAUUCUUUCCAGCAAAUCCCUCUCGUCUUAAUAUCGUAAGUGUCUCGAGAGCUAUAGCGUAGUAUAAUUUCAGUUCGCAGAUUCUAUUACGGAUGUUGCGUAAUAGUCUCAUCACGGUUGUAUCCUGGGAUUCAAAAAUCGCAACAAACCGUCACACAUUACGGGCGAUUUAUUGAGUUAAGGAAAGAGAUCAUAUCUCGACUCCGUGUUUUCGUCUGUUUUCAAUCGGUUUUCUAACUCUCGUUUUAAUCUCUUACCUUAACAUAUCGUUUAUAUUAUUGUUAUUUUUCAUUCGUGAUUUCAAUCGGAUUUUCGCGGUCCUACAAUCUUAACUCAAUAAAUCCGCUUCCUGCUUAUCGCUUGAAUCGGAUUGAAUAUUGCGAAACAGUUUUUAUAAACGGUUUUGAAAACGAGUUUUUUAAAAAUCAAUCUACAAAGUGUCUGCGAAAGUUUCUUAGCUAUUUCGUAGAACUUUUGAUCUGUUAAAGACGAAUCUUCUGAAACGGUUUAUGCGGCAGUCAUAGACAGGUCCGCAAAACGUGUUAGGGUUUAAGAACGUCAUCAAAAGACAAUUCUAAGAACACCUAUUUUCGAGUUCUAAGAAUACCUAUUGGUAAUAUCUGUGGAAACUCAAAGCAAAUCCUUUUUGGAAAACACUGUUCAUAGCGACUUAAACGUCUUAAUCGCUGAUUUGAAUCUUGAUUCUCAAUACUAACUUCGGUUAUCUUCUGUGAACUGAUUCAACUAUGACUAACGGUGAUGUCGACAUGACAACCAAUGGAAGCUCGGGUGAAGUCAGGAUGCCAGCGUCGGUAACCGCAGGACUUCAGCCCGACAAGUUCGAUGGUUCAAACUUCAAGCAGGGGCAAGAAAGGAUGCACUUCUUUCUGUCGUCAAUGCAGCUGAGCAAGUACCUCACAUAGGAUCCUCCAACAGUGCCAGAAGGAAACAAAGAUGUUACGAUUCUGGCUACCGUUGAAGCAUGGAAACACUCAGACUUCCUAUGCAAAGGGCACAUCAAGAAUCGCCUGGUGGACCAGCUGUUUGAUGUGUACAGUGAGGUCAAAACUUCCAAAGAUCUUUGGGAUGCUUUGGAAAAGAAGUACAAGUCGUACAAUGUUGGCUCUGGGAAAUUCGCUACAGCGAAACUCCUCAAGUUUGAGAUGGUGGAUUCUCGUCCCAUCAUGCCACAAGUGCACGAGCUGGAACUAAUCUUUCAAGAGAUUAGGACUGAAGGAAUGAAGCUAUGAGACAUUCACGGUGAACUGCUUCAUUGAGAAGUUACCUCCAAGUUGGGCAGACUUCCAGAACUAUCUUGCUUACAAGCAAAAGGCCCUGUCGCUGGCAAAUCUGAUCUCCAGAUUGCAGAAUGAGUCACUAAAACGUGACAGAGUUGGAAAAGAAGAUGGUCAGAUCAUGACCCAUGAUGCAAACGUGGCUGAGUACAGGAAAAAGGACAGAGGCAAACCAUCCAACAAGGCUGUGCCUAACAAGUUUCCUCCACGAAACAACACUAGCUUCAAGAAGCAAGGUCAAGCACCCAUGAAGAACAAGUUCAAUGGAAAGUGCAACUACUGCAACAAGCUUGGACAUAAGUCUUCAGAGUGUCGCCGAAAGGCUAAGUAUGAGAACAACCAAGCUCACUUGACUGAAGCAGAUCUGUGUGCAAUGGUUACAGAGGCUAACUUGGUGGAAGAGAACCCCAAGGCGUGGUGGUAUGACACAGGUGCUACCACACACAUCUGUAUUGACAGAGAGAUGUUCAGUACCUAUCAGAAGUGCAAGACUGAUGAUCAACUAAAGAUGGGAAACAUCUCCCAAUCCAAGAUUGAAGGUACUGGAAAAGUUGUGUUGAAGAUGACUUCAGGCAUGGAAGUUACUCUCAACAAUGUGAAGCAUGUUCCAGACAUGAGGAAGAACCUGAUCUCUGGUACUCUAAUGAGCAAGCAUGGUUUUGCAAUCAACUUUGAGUCUGACCAGCUGAUACUUAGGAAGAAUGGUGUUUUCAUAGGAAAAGUUUAUGUUAAGUCAGGAUUGAUCAAAAUGUCUGUAAUGACAAUCCUGAAGAAAAACAAAGUUGUACCUGAUUCCAAAGAUUUAAUUAAUAAGAAUUCAGUUGCUUAUGUGGUUGAGUCUUUUAUUAUUUGGCAUGAACGUUUAGGACAUGUUAAUUACAAGUCUAUUCAAAGACUGAUGAAUUUGAACAUGAUUCCAAAGUGCAAAAUUAGCAAAGACAAAUGUGAAAUUUGUGUCCAAGCAAAGCUCACAAAAACACCAUCACCUCAUGUUGAACGAACUACUGAACCUCUUGGAUUAAUCCACACUGAUCUGUGUGAUUUAAAAUAUCUACCAUCAAGAGGUGGUAAAAAGUAUUUUGUGAUUUUCAUUGAUGAUUGUACAAGGUACUGCUACGUGUAUUUGCUGCGCAGUAAAGAUGAAGUCUUGGACAAAUUUAAAGAGUACAAACUCGAAGUUGAAAAGCAACUGGCAAAGACCAUCAAAAUGGUCAGAAGUGAUAAGGGUGGAGAAUAUGAUGGACCUUUCAAUGAGUUUUGCCAGAUAAACGGAAUUAUCCAUCAAACUACAGCCCCCUAUUCACCUGAAUCCAAUGGAGUUGCGGAAAAAAAGAACCGAACUCUGAAGGAGAUGAUGAACGCAAGGUUGCAGGAAUCUGGGACACCCCAGAAUCUGUGGGGGGAAGCACUGCUCACCACAAAUUAUAUCCUCAACAAAAUACCUCAUAAGGUAACUGGCAAAACACCGUAUGAACUUUGGAAAGGUAAUGUACCUUCGUACAAAUACCUGAAAGUGUGGGGGUGCUUAGCAAAAGUCGCAGUGCCACUUCCAAAGAAGGUCACAAUUGGACCUAAGACUGUGGACUGUAUCUUUAUCGGAUAUGCUCACAAUAGUAGUGCUUAUCGAUUUCUGGUACAUAAGUCAGAUGUAUCAGAUGUCCAAGUGAAUACUAUCAUGGAAUCAAUGAAUGCUUCUUUCUUUGAACACAUAUUUCCAUAUAGGGAUAAGCAAACUACUAAACGCACUCGUGAAGAAAGAGAUGUGACUACUUCUGUAAAUGAGAUGGAAGUAGAACAGGUUGAAGAUGAACCUAGACGAAGCAAACGAGCUCGUUAGGAAAAAUCUUUUGGUGAAGAUUUCAUGAUGGUCUUUCUUGUCGAGAAUGAACCGAGAUCUUACACAGAAGCCAUGUCUACACCAGAAGCUCCUUAUUGGAAGGAUGCUGUCAAUAGUGAGAUGAGUUCUAUAAUGCAGAAUCAUACCUAUGAGAUAACUGACUUACCUCAAGGGUUCAAAGCACUAGGGUGUAAAUGGAUCUUCAAGACCAAGCUGAAAGCUGAUGGUUCUAUAGAUAAGUACAAGGCACGCCUUGUGGUGCAAGGAUUCAGACAAAAAGAAGGUCUAGAUUUCUUUGACACCUAUUCUCCAGUUACGAGAAUAACUUCGAUCAGAAUAUUGAUUGGCGUAGCAGCCUUGCGAGGUUUGGAAAUCCAUCAGAUGGAUGUUAAAAAUGCCUUUCUAAAUGGUGAUUUAGGAGAAGAAAUAUACAUGAAACAACCCGAAGGUUUCGAGGUUAAGGGUCAAGAGCACAAAGUGUGUAGACUCGUGAAAUCAUUGUAUGGACUGAAACAAGCUCCAAAACAAUGGCACGAAAAGUUUGACAAUGUGAUGAUGUCAAAUGGUUUCAGCAUUAACGAAUGUGAUAAAUGCAUCUACUACAAAUGUACUCCAAACGGAUACAUCUUACUAUGUCUGUAUGUAGAUGACAUGUUGAUUAUUGGCAGUAACAAAGAUAUCAUUCAACAAACCAAGAACAUGCUCAAUGGAAAAUUUGACAUGAAAGACAUGAGACUUGCAGAUGGCAUUCUUGGGACUAAGAUCAUUCGGACAUCCAAUGGAAUUACUCUGUCUCAAGAUCACUAUGCUGAAAAGUUCCUAGAGAGGUUUAAGACCUACUCAAAUGGAACCACAAAAACUCCAAUGGAUGUGCAAGCUCACCUAACCAAGAACACAGGUGAACCAUUAUCACAGGUGGAGUAUGCACGGGUAAUUGGAAGUCUGAUGUACUUGACCAAUUGUACAAGACCCGAUCUAGCACAUGCGGUAAACGUGUUAAGUCGAUACACAAGUAAUCCAGGUCAUACUCAUUGGAAAGCAAUAACUAGAGUGUUGAAAUAUUUGCGAUACACUAAGAGUUAUGGGCUGCACUUUGGUAAAGAACCAGCAGUGUUAGAAGGGUACAGUGAUGCCAAUUGGAUUUCAGAUUCUAGAAAUUCCAAAUCCACAAGUGGAUAUGUCUUUACACUCGCUUGAGCAGCAGUAUCCUGGAAAUCUUCCAAACAAACACUCCUGGCCCGAUCAACCAUGGAGUCAGAGUUCAUAGCUUUAGACAAAGCAGCAGAAGAAGUAGAGUGGCUUCGGAACUUCCUGGAAGAUAUCCCGAUGUGGGAAAAACCAGUGCCAGCAUUACGUGUACACUGUGAUAGUCAAUCAGCUAUCUCUCGGGCACUGAAUAAUCUGUAUAAUGGCAAGUCUCGUCACAUACGAAGACGACAUAAGACCAUUAGGCAUCUGAUCUCAAGUGGUGUACUCACGGUUGAUUACAUCAAGUCAGCGGAAAUUUAGCGGAUCCGUUCACCAAAAGCUUGCCGCGAGAUCAAAUCAUUAAAUCAUCUAAGGGAAUGGGCUUAUUGCCUAUCACGAAAGAGGAUGUUUGAUGGAAAUCCUACCUACGCGAUUGGAGAUCCCAAGAGGUUGGUUCAAAGGGACAACUAAAUCAAGCAGAAUCUGAGAAAAACAUUGUAAAAUGCUCAAUUUCCAUGAUGAUAAACAGUGCUUCCUGUAAUUAUGUAAGGUUAAGCUUUAUACCUUUUAAUGAGAUAAGACCAUAGCCUUCAUAUACAUGUAUAUAUAGUAUAACAGGAUACUUUCUGUGUAUGUGACAGGUACUUGGCAAUCACCUAGUGAGUGUGAAAUGAGGCCGUUUCUAGGAGAACGAAGACAAGGCUAUACUCUCCAAGUUCACUCAUGAUAAACCAGACACGUUCAAGGCCACAAUGAACACAAUAGAGAACUGAAUGCUACGAGAAGACGAAGCUGGGUUGUAUCUGUUGAUUUGGUUUACAACAAAAUCCGGGCGGUUCAAGACAUCAUGUUCACUUCCUGGAGAGUAAAUCCGACAGAUAUUAACAAUGAGUGGUUCAAAGCUGAAAAACGCUACUUCCUCAGACACAGUUAGUUUUCGCUUAUACUCUCGAAAAGUCCGUCUGUCGAGUCUGUAGUCUAGUUUGAGUCUAGUCUGCAUAGUCUAUCGAGUCUGCAUAUGUAUAGAGUCAUUUCUAUUCAUGUGGGGGAUUGUUGGAACCCAAUAUUAAUAAGCAUUUGGACUUGUAAUAUUGAGUUUGUGUGUGAAUAAAAAAUGAAGUUUAAUAAGCAAAUGAGCCUUAUAAAUUCAUUUGAGAUUUGGGUUUGAGCCUAUGGAAAUGAAAUGUUCCUAUUGGCUAUAACUAAAAGUGGAAGUUUAGUGGAAGUGUAUUUGUCCCACAUUGCUCACUAAGGAGAAAAAUCUCUAGUAUAUAUAUGGCCUUCUCACAAUACGGGUCAACAGCAUUGUGGAAGUAAAAGGACAUUAUGCAAAACACCUACGCGGGCCGCCGCCGUCGCCGUCGCCGGUGCUGGUGCCGGUGCCGGUACCGGUACCGGUACCGGUACCGGGCUCGGGCUCGUGCUCGUUGCUCGUUGCUCGUUGCAUUUUUUAGUUGGCUCUUAGGGCUCUUGCUUGUUGCUUGUUGCAUUUUUUAGUUGGCUCUUAGGGCUCGUGCUCGUUGCUUGUUGCAUUUUUUAGUUGGCUCUUAAAGCUCUUGGGCUCUUGGGCUCUAUAUAGCUGGGUGUGGGUCGUGGGCUUCUUAGUUCCUGCGAAAUAUUUUUUGCAUAUUGAAAGGAUAAAUCUUAGGAAAUAAAAGAUUGCGUCCAGAUAAUAACGGAAGAUUUCCGAAUCCUUUUACUUGCGGAAAAAGGAGAAUAUUUUGUGAAUAUUCCUUUUUCGCCAAAGAUUAUUCUUUGCGGAUCAAGCUGAACCUUCGAGUAUAAAUAGACGCCCUCUUCUCUCAUUCUAAAAAAUCGAACUCUCGAAUGUCCCAAACACACAACAAAUAAUUCUUUCCAGCAAAUCCCUCUCGUCUUAAUAUCGUAAAUGUUUCGAGAGCUAUAGCAUAGUAUAAUUUCAGUUCGCAGAUUCUAUUACGGGUGUUGUGUAAUAGUCUCAUCACGGUUGUAUCCUGGGAUUCAAAAAUCGCAACAAACCGUCACACAUUACGGGCGAUUUAUUGAGUUAAGGAAAGAGAUCAUAUCUCGACUCCGUGUUUUUGUCUGUUUUCAAUCGGUUUUCUAACUCUUGUUUUAAUCUCUUACCUUAACAUAUCGUUUAUAUUAUUGUUAUUUUUUAUUCGUGAUUUCAAUCGGAUUUUCGAGGUCCUACAGUUUAGACGUGUUAGCGAGCAGUUCACAGCUAUGUUCAGGAGGAAGGCUUUCUUGCAUUGGUACACCGUACACAGGUGAAGGUAUGGACGAGAUGGAAUUCACAGAGGCCGAGAGCAACAUGAACAAUCUUGUUUCGGAGUACCAGCAAUACCAAGACGCAACCGCAGAUGAAGAAGGUGAGUACGAGGAUGAGGAAGAAGGAGAAUACCAACAGGAGGAGUAUUGAGAGAGAGUAAGUGUACACCACCUUAAAAAAACCAAUUUAGUCUUUUGCUUUUUUUUUUUUCUUUUUUAAAACAAAGAAACCUCAACUACCAGUUGCAGGUUUUUUUAUGCUUGUAUUAACAACUCUGGAUCUUGUUGACUUAUGGUGUGUUUUGUGUACUUUUGAGUUUUGACCUUAAAAUUGGGUUCGUUCUUCGUAUUUCCCUCUUUAGUUUGAAUCUCAACGUGUGGCUUUAUUUGAUUUUAUUUUUAUUUUUAUUUUUUGAAUUCUGAAGAUAUAUAAGGCAAAAUAGAGUGAUUUACAGGGAAA
rnacentral:lncRNA from 1 species